rnacentral:rRNA from 1 species
CAGCCGCCGCGGGAAUACGAAGAGUGCAAGCGUUAAUCGGAAUUACUGGCGUAAAGCGUGCGUAGGCGGUUUGUUAAGUCUGCUGUGAAAUCCCCGGGCUCAACCUGGGAAUGGCAGUGGAUACUGGCUCGCUAGAGUGUGUCAGAGGAUGGUGGAAUUCCCGGUGUAGCGGUGAAAUGCGUAGAGAUCGGGAGGAACAUCAGUGGCGAAGGCGGCCAUCUGGGACAACACUGACGCUGAGGCACGAAAGCGUGGGGAGCAAACAGGAUUAGAUACCCCAGUAGUCCCUGUCUCUUAUACA